GUGGGUGUAGCUCAAUUGGUUAGAGCACAAGAUUGUGGAUCUUGGGGUUGCGGGUUCAAGUCCCGUCACUCACC
rnacentral:tRNA from 1 species